rnacentral:tRNA from 3 species
GGGCCGAUGGUGAAGCGGGAUCACACCUGCCUUGCAAGCAGGAGUCCAGGGUUCGAUUCCCUGCCGGUCCAC